rnacentral:rRNA from 1 species
CUCCUUCGGGAGGCGAGUAAAGCGGCGCACGGGUGAGUAACACGUGGGUAACCUGCCCUUGAGACUGGGACAACCCAGGGAAACCCGGGCUAAUACCAGGUACGGCUUCGGGAUCUUCGGAUCCUUUGGAGAAAGGAUGGCCUAUGCUUGCAAGCCAUCGCUCGAGGAUGGGCCCGCGGCCCAUUAGCUAGUUGGUGAGGUAAAGGCUCACCAAGGCAAUGAUGGGUAGCUGGUCUGAGAGGAUGAUCAGCCACACUGGGACUGAGACACGGCCCAGACUCCUACGGGAGGCAGCAGUGGGGAAUUUUGGGCAAUGGGCGAAAGCCUGACCCAGCAACGCCGCGUGCAGGAUGAAGGCCCUCGGGUCGUAAACUGCUGUCGGGAGGGAAGAACAGCAGCGGAGGAAACACUUCCGUUGCCUGACGGUACCUCCAAAGGAAGCGCCGGCUAACUCCGUGCCAGCAGCCGCGGUAAUACGGAGGGCGCAAGCGUUGUUCGGAAUUACUGGGCGUAAAGCGCGUGUAGGCGGUCUGGUAAGUCGGUUGUGAAAUCCCCGGGCUCAACCCGGGAACUGCAUCCGAAACUGCUGGGCUAGAGUUCCGGAGAGGAAGGCAGAAUUCCCAAUGUAGGGGUGAAAUCCGUAGAUAUUGGGAGGAAUACCGGUGGCGAAGGCGGCCUUCUGGACGGUGACUGACGCUGAGACGCGAAAGCGUGGGGAGCAAACAGG